UUGCCUGUGACUUGGCUCGGCUAUUUGAAAAUUCUCAUCUUAGUUAUGCUCAUUUUAUUAACUUGUUACUCCUUUGCUGAGCAGUCAUUAUCAUAGAGCAUAGCUGGUCUAAAUGUGAUUACAUAAAAUUAACCUAUCAAACUAAUAGAGAUUUUAUAGUCUCAUAGCAUUCGAGCUGUGCUUCUCUUUUUCAAAAACCCUGCCAUUGCAUUUGCAUAAG
rnacentral:misc_RNA from 1 species